rnacentral:rRNA from 1 species
UGGUCGGCCACACUGGGACUGAGACACUGCCCAGACUUCUACGGAAGGCUGCAGUCGAGAAUCUUUCGCAAUGCCCGAAAGGGUGACGAAGCGACGCCGCGUGGGUGAGGAAGGCCUUCGGGUUGUAAAGCCCUGUCAGGAGUUAAGAAAUGUAAGUUCGUUAAUACCGUACUUAUUUGACAAAGGCUCCAAAGGAAGCCACGGCUAACUCUGUGCCAGCAGCCGCGGUAAUACAGAGGUGGCGAGCGUUGUUCGGAAUUAUUGGGCGUAAAGAGCACGUAGGUGGGUUUGCAAGUCAGAUGUGAAAGCCUUCUGUUCAACGGAAGAAUUGCAUCUGAAACUGCUAAUCUUGAGUAUAGGAGGGGAGAAUGGAACUUCUGGUGGAGCGGUGAAAUGCGUAGAUAUCAGAAGGAACGCCGGCGGCGAAAGCGAUUCUCUGGCCUAUUACUGACACUCAGUGUGCGAAAGCUAGGGGAGCAAACGGGAUUAGAUACCCCGGUAGUCCUAGCCGUAAACGAUGGGCACUAAGUAGAGGGGUUUU